GAACGAGAAAGUGGAGCAAUCCAUGAGUACAGUGGCGUACGGGUGAGUAACACGUGACUAACCUACCCUCGAGUGGGGAAUAACUUCGGGAAACCGAGGCUAAUACCGCAUAAUGUCUACGGACCAAAUGCGCAAGCAGCUUGAGGAGGGGGUCGCGGCUGAUUAGCUUGUUGGCGGGGUAACGGCUCACCAAGGCGACGAUCAGUAGCUGGUCUGAGAGGAUGAUCAGCCUCACUGGGACUGAGACACGGCCCAGACUCCUACGGGAGGCAGCAGUGGGGAAUAUUGGACAAUGGGCGCAAGCCUGAUCCAGCCAUGCCGCGUGGGUGAUGAAGGCCUUAGGGUUGUAAAGCCCUUUCGGCGGGGAAGAUAAUGACGGUACCCGCAGAAGAAGCCCCGGCUAACUUCGUG
rnacentral:rRNA from 1 species